rnacentral:tRNA from 1 species
CCUGGUGGCUCAGACGGUAAAGCAUCUGCCUGCAAUGCAGGGGACCUGGGUUCAAUCCCUGGGUCAGGA